GAUGAACGCUGGCGGCGCGCCUAACACAUGCAAGUCGAACGAUUAAAGCACCUUCGGGUGUGUAUAAAGUGGCGAACGGCUGAGUAACACGUGGGCAACCUGCCCCUUUCAUUGGGAUAGCCACGGGAAACCGUGGAUAAUACCGAAUACUUCGAGACUUCCGCAUGGAAGACUCGAGAAAGCUCCGGCGGAGAGGGAUGGGCCCGCGGCCUGUUAGCUUGUUGGUGGGGUAACGGCCUACCAAGGCAAUGAUGGGUAGCUGGGUUGAGAGACCGACCAGCCAGAUUGGGACUGAGACACGGCCCAGACUCCUACGGGAGGCAGCAGUGGGGAAUCUUGCACAUUGGGCGAAAGCCUGAUGCAGCGACGCCGCGUGCGGGAUGAAGGCCUUCGGGUUGUAAACCGCUUUCAGCAGGGACGAGGCGAAAGUGACGGUACCUGCAGAAGAAGCCCCGGCUAACUACGUG
rnacentral:rRNA from 1 species